rnacentral:lncRNA from 10 species
GCCACACCUAAAAUAAACAUCAAUGGCAAGGGUAGGUCAACUGCAGCAGUUUCUGAACAAGAAAACCAGAGGCAGAGCGUGAUCAAUAACAAAAUGACUGGAAGAAAGAGAAGGGAGAGAAAGACAGCCAGAGAAGCAACUUCAGAGGCAAAAUAGACACUAAACCCAAUGCCUUUUUGAAAUGCUGUGAAAGGAACAACAUAGCAAAAUUUAAGAAUAACUAUUAACCCAGACCGUCAUGCAGGUGUGAUGUUAGCAGCUGCUUAGAAACUUUCUCCCCCAGUGAGAAAGAAGAACAACUGUGUCCAAGACUUUCAGUAGUAUAUUGAAUAAAAGUGGCGAGAACGGAAGAUCACCAAAUAGGAACAGCUCCAGUCUAUAGCUCCAAGCAAGAUUAACACAGGAGAAUGACAAAAGAAUGGAUCAUUAACAAGAUAUUAUAGAAAACUACAUUCUGAUGAUGAAAAUGAUCCUCAGAGGAGCAUUGUUAAUAAUCAAAUUACCAAAGAAUGAUGCCUACUCUGAAUCCAGAUGUCUGACUUCACAGGACAAAACCACUGCAUUUACUGUUCUCAAAUGAUUUAUUUUAAGAAUUUACGCUUCUAAAUUUAAUCCCUGAGGGUAAUGGGUUAUGUCUUAAAAUAUGUAAUGGAACAUUAAAAAAAUGAAUUCUUU